rnacentral:rRNA from 1 species
CACGUAGGGUGCGAGCGUUGUCCGGAAUUACUGGGCGUAAAGGGCUCGUAGGCGGCCAACUAAGUCAGACGUGAAAUCCCUCGGCUUAACCGGGGAACUGCGUCUGAUACUGGAUGGCUUGAGUUUGGGAGAGGGAUGCGGAAUUCCAGGUGUAGCGGUGAAAUGCGUAGAUAUCUGGAGGAACACCGGUGGCGAAGGCGGCAUCCUGGACCAACACUGACGCUGACGUGAGCGAAAGCCAGGGGAGCAAACGGGG